CUGCCCCUGCCCCUGCCCGUCACCCUUCUAGGGCCCCUCUGUGUGGCUGUGCCCUGCCCUCUCUCCACCCGGUGACCGAUGCUGGGUAAGUCACCAUGACCAAGGCAACUUCGAAAAGAAGGCAUUGUGGGGUUUACAGUUUCAGAGCGACGUGAGCUCUCAACGCUGAGCUUCCAGCUGCACCUGCCAUUCCAGCUCGCAACCCCUGACAUCCUGGACCCUAACCCUCUGAAACCGU
rnacentral:lncRNA from 1 species